rnacentral:rRNA from 1 species
GCCUACGGGGGGCAGCAGUGAGGAAUAUUGGUCAAUGGUCGGGAGACUGAACCAGCCAAGCCGCGUGAGGGAGGAAGGUACAGAGUAUCGUAAACCUCUUUUGUCAUGGAACAACGCCUGGGACGCGUCCCCGGAUGAGUGUACCUGAAGAAAAAGCAUCGGCUAACUCCGUGCCAGCAGCCGCGGUAAUACGGAGGAUGCGAGCGUUAUCCGGCUUUAUUGGGUUUAAAGGGUGCGCCGGCGUUCUGUUACGUCAGCGGUCAAAGCCCGGGGCUCAACCCCGGCCCGCCGUUGCCACUGGCCGG